GACGAACGCUUGUGGCGUGCUUAACACAUGCAAGUCGAACGGAAAGGCCCUGCUUUUGUGGGGUGCUCGAGUGGCGAACGGGUGAGUAACACGUGAGUAACCUGCCCUUGACUUUGGGAUAACUUCAGGAAACUGGGGCUAAUACCGGAUAGGAGCUCCUGCUGCAUGGUGGGGGUUGGAAAGUUUCGGCGGUUGGGGAUGGACUCGCGGCUUAUCAGCUUGUUGGUGGGGUAGUGGCUUACCAAGGCUUUGACGGGUAGCCGGCCUGAGAGGGUGACCGGCCACAUUGGGACUGAGAUACGGCCCAGACUCCUACGGGAGGCAGCAGUGGGGAAUAUUGCACAAUGGGCGGAAGCCUGAUGCAGCAACGCCGCGUGCGGGAUGACGGCCUUCGGGUUGUAAACCGCUUUCGCCUGUGACGAAGCGUGAGUGACGGUAAUGGGUAAAGAAGCACCGGCUAACUACGUGCCAGCAGCCGCGGUGAUACGUAGGGUGCGAGCGUUGUCCGGAUUUAUUGGGCGUAAAGGGCUCGUAGGUGGUUGAUCGCGUCGGAAGUGUAAUCUUGGGGCUUAACCCUGAGCGUGCUUUCGAUACGGGUUGACUUGAGGAAGGUAGGGGAGAAUGGAAUUCCUGGUGGAGCGGUGGAAUGCGCAGAUAUCAGGAGGAACACCAGUGGCGAAGGCGGUUCUCUGGGCCUUUCCUGACGCUGAGGAGCGAAAGCGUGGGGAGCGAACAGGCUUAGAUACCCUGGUAGUCCACGCUGUAAACGGUGGGUACUAGGUGUGGGGUCCAUUCCACGGGUUCCGUGCCGUAGCUAACGCUUUAAGUACCCCGCCUGGGGAGUACGGCCGCAAGGCUAAAACUCAAAGGAAUUGACGGGGCCCCGCACAAGCGGCGGAGCAUGCGGAUUAAUUCGAUGCAACGCGUAGAACCUUACCUGGGUUUGACAUGGAUCGGGAGUGCUCAGAGAUGGGUGUGCCUCUUUUGGGGUCGGUUCACAGGUGGUGCAUGGCUGUCGUCAGCUCGUGUCGUGAGAUGUUGGGUUAAGUCCCGCAACGAACGCAACCCUUGUUCACUGUUGCCAGCACGUUAUGGUGGGGACUCAGUGGAGACCGCCGGGGUCAACUCGGAGGAAGGUGGGGAUGACGUCAAGUCAUCAUGCCCCUUAUGUCCAGGGCUUCACGCAUGCUACAAUGGCUGGUACAGAGAGUGGCGAGCCUGUGAGGGUGAGCGAAUCUCGGAAAGCCGGUCUCAGUUCGGAUUGGGGUCUGCAACUCGACCUCAUGAAGUCGGAGUCGCUAGUAAUCGCAGAUCAGCAACGCUGCGGUGAAUACGUUCCCGGGGCU
rnacentral:rRNA from 1 species